rnacentral:rRNA from 1 species
AUGGCUGCGAUGCAAGAGGAGUUUGAUGCCCUGUUGCGCAAUCGGGCGUGGCAGCUUGUUCCCCGUCCCCGGCACGCCAACGUGAUUACCGGGAAGUGGGUCUUCAAACACAAGCUCCGUCCCGAUGGUACCCUUGAUCGCUACAAAGCGCGCUGGGUCGUUCGUGGAUUCCGACAGCGUGCUGGCAUCGACUUCACCGACACAUUCGCUCCGGUCGUCAAGCCCGGCACGAUACGCACGGUUCUCCACCUUGCGGUCUCCCGUGCUUGGCCGAUGCACCAAAUGGACGUCUCCAACGCCUUCAUGGUCACCUCGAGGAGCAGGUCUUCUGCCAGCAGCCCACCGGGUUCGUUGAUCCAGCACUUCGCGACCACGUGUGCCUGCUUUCGCGGUCCUUGUAUGGACUCAAGCAGGCUCCGCGCGCUUGGUACCAGCGCAUUGCGGCGUUUCUUCAUCAGCUUGGGUUCCGCUCCACUCGGUCGGACGCUUCUCUCUUCGUUUAUCAACAGGGCUCCGACACGGCAUACUUGCUGCUAUAUGUCGACGACAUCAUCCUGA